CACACGAUGGUGGUGCUCCACUGCACGUGAGGAAAUAAACCACAAACAAACUAUCCGUGGAAUCAGCAGAAAAAAAAGAAAAUGGCUGUUCAGCUAGAAGAUAAAGAAAUCUGGCAAGAAGACGGAGAGGAGUCAAUUGGAGAAGAGGUGUUACGUAUGUCAACAGAUGAAAUCAUUAGCCUCGCCAGACUUUUAGACAAUGAAAUAAAAGUAUGA